GACGAACGCUGGCGGCGCGCCUAACACAUGCAAGUCGAACGAGCGAGAGAGAGCUUGCUUUCUUGAGCGAGUGGCGAACGGGUGAGUAACGCGUGAGGAACCUGCCUCUAAGAGGGGGACAACAGUUGGAAACGACUGCUAAUACCGCAUAAGCCCACGGUGCCGCAUGGCACAGAGGGAAAAGGAGCAAUCCGCUUUGAGAUGGCCUCGCGUCCGAUUAGCUAGUUGGUGAGGUAACGGCCCACCAAGGCGACGAUCGGUAGCCGGACAGAGAGGUUGAACGGCCACAUUGGGACUGAGACACGGCCCAGACUCCUACGGGAGGCAGCAGUGGGGAAUAUUGCACAAUGGGGGAAACCCUGAUGCAGCGACGCCGCGUGGAGGAAGAAGGUCUUCGGAUUGUAAACUCCUGUUGUUGGGGAAGAUAAUGACGGUACCCAACAAGGAAGUGACGGCUAACUACGUG
rnacentral:rRNA from 1 species